rnacentral:rRNA from 1 species
AACGAACGCUGGCGGCAGGCUUAACACAUGCAAGUCGAGCGCCCCGCAAGGGGAGCGGCAGACGGGUGAGUAACGCGUGGGAAUCUACCCAUCCCUACGGAAUAGCUCCGGGAAACUGGGAUUAAUACCGUAUACGCCCUACGGGGGAAAGAUUUAUCGGGGAUGGAGGAGCCCGCGUUGGAUUAGCUAGUUGGUGGGGUAAAGGCCUACCAAGGCGACGAUCCAUAGCUGGUCUGAGAGGAUGAUCAGCCACAUUGGGACUGAGACACGGCCCAAACUCCUACGGGAGGCAGCAGUGGGGAAUAUUGGACAAUGGGGGCAACCCUGAUCCAGCCAUGCCGCGUGAGUGAUGAAGGCCUUAGGGUUGUAAAGCUCUUUCACCGGGGAAGAUAAUGACGGUACCCGGAGAAGAAGCCCCGGCUAACUUCGUGCCAGCCGCCGCUGUAA